rnacentral:lncRNA from 1 species
AUCAGCCUGGGCAAAAUUGCGAGAGAAAAGAAAAAAGAAAAAAAUAAUGUCACAGGUGUCCUGACUCUAAACCUGGACAUUAGCCCAGGUCUCACUCUCACCAAGCCCUCUAAAGAACUCAUUCUAUCAGAUAAGUGAUCAGAUGAAUUAUUCUACCUCCAUACUAUGAAAUCCUAUGUCACCAUUGAAAUUAAUGUGGUGUAUAAUCUCCAAAGGCAAUGAAAAAAAAAGAACAAAUUAAUGUAGUGCUUCUACACACACUGUAUCAGAAUAUCUUAC